GUCUUUAUGAUAUAUUUAUAAAGUCUGGCCUGCCCACUGAAUUUUAAAGGGCCGCGGUAUUUUGACCGUGCAAAGGUAGCAUAAUCAUUUGUCUCUUAAUUGGAGGCUUGUAUGAAUGGUUGCACAAGAAACAAACUGUCUUCAGCUAAAUUUAUUGAACUUAACUUUUAAGUAAAAAGGCUUAAAUAAAUUAAAGUGACGAUAAGACCCUAUAAAACUUGAUAAAUAAAAUAAAAAAAGUGGAGUAGUUGAUUAAAACUUUUAUUGUGGAAUUUAUUUUAUUGGGGCGAUAAAAAUAUAAAAAGUAACUGUUUUUAAAGUUUUAAUGAUUUAUAAUCAGAUUGUGUGAAUGAUCCUUUAAUAAAGAUUAUAAGAUUAAGUUACUUUAGGGAUAACAGCGUAAUUUUCUUUGAGAGUUCUUAUCUACAAGAAAGAUUACGACCUCGAUGUUGAAUUAAAAAAUCUUUAAGGUGUAGCAGCUUUAAAAGAAGGUCUGUUCGACCUUUAAAUUUUU
rnacentral:rRNA from 1 species